UUAUGGCCAUAUCACAUUGAAAUGCCAGUUCUUGUACGAUCACUGAAAUUAAGCAACAUCAAGCCUGGUCAGUACCUAGAUGAGUGAUCGCUUAGGAAUACAAGAUGCUGUAAG